rnacentral:rRNA from 1 species
UACGUAGGGUGCGAGCGUUGUCCGGAAUUAUUGGGCGUAAAGGGCUCGUAGGCGGUCUGUUGCGUCGGUAGUGAAAACUCAGGGCUUAACCCUGAGCCUGCUUCCGAUACGGGCAGACUAGAGGUAUGCAGGGGAGAACGGAAUUCCUGGUGUAGCAGUGAAAUGCGCAGAUAUCAGGAGGAACACCGGUGGCGAAGGCGGUUCUCUGGGCAUUACCUGACGCUGAGGAGCGAAAGUGUGGGGAGCGAACAGG